rnacentral:rRNA from 1 species
CUACGGGUCGCUCCAGCAGGGAAUAUUGCACAAUGGACGGAAGUCUGAUGCAGCGACGCCGCGUGGAUGAUGAAGGCCUUCGGGUUGUAAAAUCCUUUUCAGGGGGACGAGGAAGGACGGUACCCUUGGAAUAAGCGUCGGCUAACUACGUGCCAGCAGCCGCGGUAAGACGUAGGACGCAAGCGUUAUCCGGAUUUACUGGGCGUAAAGCGUCUGUAGGCGGAAUGGUAAGUUGGACGUGAAAGCUCCGGGCUCAACCCGGAGAGGUCGUUCAAUACUGCCAAACUAGAGGGCAUCAGAGGAGCGUGGAAUUUCCGGUGUAGCGGUAAAAUGCGCAGAUAUCGGAAGGAACACCAAUGGCGAAGGCAGCGCUCUGGGAUGAACCUGACGCUAAGAGACGAAAGCUAGGGGAGCGAACAGGAUUAGAUACCCGUGUAGUC